UCCGGUGAAUAUAUCCGAAAGGUCACACCUGUUUCCAUUCCGAAUACAGUAGUUAAGCUUUCGGAGCCGAUGAUAGUAAAAAAACUGCGAAAGUAGGUAUCGCCGGUC
rnacentral:rRNA from 1 species